rnacentral:tRNA from 3 species
GUGCCUGUAGCUCAGGGGAUAGAGCAACUGCCUUCUAAGCAGUGGGCCGCAGGUUCAAUUCCUGCCAGGCACGCCA